rnacentral:RNase_P_RNA from 13 species
CCAGUCGGCCGGAUGGCCGCUCUCCGUCAUCGUCCCCGGGCCACCCCCGAUGGACCGUCGGGGGGAGGAAAGUCCGGGCUCCACGGGAACACGGUGCCGGGUAACGCCCGGCGGGGGCGACCCUAGGGAAAGUGCCACAGAGAGCAAACCGCCGGCCUAUACGGCCGGUAAGGGUGAAAGGGUGCGGUAAGAGCGCACCGCCUGCCCGGCAACGGGGAGGGCAUGGUAAACCCCACCGGGAGCAAGAUCGAAUAGGGACGGCACGCCCCGGUUUUCCGGGGCAAGCGGCGUUUCCGCGCCGCCGUCCGGGUAGUAUCGCGCGAGGCGUCCGGUAACGGGCGUCCCAGAUGAAUGGCCAUCCCCGUCGUCGCGUCCCUUGCGGGAUACGGCCGGCGUGGACAGAACCCGGCUUACAGGCCGUCUGGCGGU